GACGAACGCUGGCGGCGUGCCUAACACAUGCAAGUCGAGCGAGUGAAUCUCCUUCGGGAGUGAAGCUAGCGGCGGACGGGUGAGUAACACGUGGGCAACCUGCCUCAUAGAGGGGAAUAGCCUUUCGAAAGGAAGAUUAAUACCGCAUAAGAUUGUAGCUUCGCAUGAAGUAGCAAUUAAAGGAACAAUCCGCUAUGAGAUGGGCCCGCGGCGCAUUAGCUAGUUGGUGAGGUAACGGCUCACCAAGGCGACGAUGCGUAGCCGACCUGAGAGGGUGAUCGGCCACAUUGGGACUGAGACACGGCCCAGACUCCUACGGGAGGCAGCAGUGGGGAAUAUUGCACAAUGGGGGAAACCCUGAUGCAGCAACGCCGCGUGAGUGAUGACGGCCCUCGGGUCGUAAAGCUCUGUCCUCAAGGAAGAUAAUGACGGUACUUGAGGAGGAAGCCCCGGCUAACUACGUGCCAGCCGCCGCCGUAA
rnacentral:rRNA from 1 species